CCUACGGGGGGCAGCAGUGAGGAAUAUUGGUCAAUGGGCGGAAGCCUGAACCAGCCAAGUAGCGUGCAGGAUGACGGCCCUACGGGUUGUAAACUUCUUUUAUACGGGAAUAACGCGCCUUACGUGUAGGCCUUUGCAUGUACCGUAUGAAUAAGGACCGGCUAAUUCCGUGCCAGCAGCCGCGGUAAUACGGAAGGUCCGGGCGUUAACCGGAUUUAUUGGGUUUAAAGGGUGCGUAGGCCGCAUGUCAAGUGUGCGGGGAAAUGUCCGGGCUCAACCCGGGCCUUGCAGCGCGAACUGGCGUGCUUGAGUCGGCGGAAAGCAGGCGGAAUUCGUCGUGUAGCGGUGAAAUGCUUAGAUAUGACGAAGAACCCCGAUUGCGAAGGCAGCUUGCUGGAGCGGAACUGACGCUGAUGCACGAAAGCGCGGGUAUCGAACAGGAUUAGAUACCCGUGUAGUC
rnacentral:rRNA from 1 species